AAUUCUCAGUGAAAAUUAUUUGACCAAAUUACAUAAAGACACAUUUGAAGGCCUGCUAUCCCUCCAGUAUUUAGAUUGAUCCUGCAAUAAAAUACAAUGUAUUGAAAGACGUACAUUUGAACCACUACCUUUUUUGCAGUUUGUAGACCUGGGAACAACACAGGUGUCACAACAAUCGAGAGCAUUCUCAUGAUGACCUUUGAACUGGAAAAACUG